GAGAACCAGUCAGGGUUGAGAUAAUGGACUGGGAGCCCAGCCACAGCCAGGAGUCCCGGAGAGAGCCCAGGCAUGACCAGUCUCAAGGGACCUCUGUUCGGGAAGGCAAGACCGAUGUAGACAGCCAUCCGUUCCAGUGUCAAAUCCCACCUGCAGAGGAGCUGACCGGAGUUUUGGCUUCAGAAAGGAUUCGCUGCCCUGCUGUAAACAUUCCCUCAGCGGUGGGCAGGGACGUGUCUUCACAGCAGAUUCAGACGUCUAGAUCUUGGCACAGACAGAAAGACACAGAACCUACCCAGGUCGGUCUUGGGGUGCCCUCAAAAGAGCAAUGCUUUGAGAGAAGAGCAUGUCUUUUCAGAAGCUAG
rnacentral:lncRNA from 1 species